rnacentral:rRNA from 1 species
CAGCCGUAAACAAUGUGCGUUAGGUGUGUCGGUAACCACGUGUUACUGAUGCGCCGAAGAGAAAUCGUGAAACGCACCACCUGGGAAGUACGGUCGCAAGGCUGAAACUUAAAGGAAUUGGCGGGGGAGCACCACAACAGGUGGAGCCUGCGGUUUAAUUGGAUUCAACGCCGGACAUCUCACCGGAUAAGACAGCUGAAUGAUUGUCAAUCUGAAGGUUUUACAUGACUAGCUGAGAGGAGGUGCAUGGCGUCAGUG